UCUGUUUACAAACCCUACUUUUCGUGUGCAACUUUAACUGUACGUCUUAUAUGAAAUUUUUUUAUAAUUCGUAUUUUUAUUAUUAUUAGAUGAUAAAACAUGAUUAAUAUUUUAUGAGUGACUUGUCUUUUUAAUUUUUUUUUAUAAUUUUUUUAAAUAAGACGGAUGGUCAAAUAUUAGGCACGGAAACCAAG
rfam:Oryza rufipogon genomic scaffold, chr05